ACACACCCACACACCGCUAUGGUCACCAGGUACUAGUAUAUACUAGUAUAACACACCCACACACCGCUAUGGUCACCAGGUACUAGUAUAACACACCCACACACCGCUAUGGUCACCAGGUACUAGUAUAACACACCGCUAUGGUCACCAGGUACUAGUAUAUACUAGUAUAACACCCACACACCGCUAUGGUCACCAGGUACUAGUAUAUACUAGUAUAACACACCCACACACCGCUAUGGUCACCAGGUACUAGUAUAUACUAGUAUAACACACCCACACACCGCUAUGGUCACCAGGUACUAG